rnacentral:tRNA from 1 species
UCCCUGUUUGCUCAGAGGGUAGAGCAUUUGCCUGCAAUGCAGGAGACCCAGGUUUGAUUCCUGGGUUGGGAA